rnacentral:rRNA from 1 species
CAGCAGCCGCGGUAAUACGAAGGGGGCUAGCGUUGUUCGGAAUUACUGGGCGUAAAGCGCACGUAGGCGGAUAUUUAAGUCAGGAGUGAAAUCCCAGAGCUCAACUCUGGAACUGCCUUUGAUACUGGGUAUCUUGAGUAUGGAAGAGGUGAGUGGAAUUCCGAGUGUAGAGGUGAAAUUCGUAGAUAUUCGGAGGAACACCAGUGGCGAAGGCGGCUCACUGGUCCAUUACUGACGCUGAGGUGCGAAAGCGUGGGGAGCAAACAGGAUUAGAUACCCCCGUAGUCCCUGUCUCUUAUAA